rnacentral:rRNA from 1 species
CCCUUAGAUGUCCUGGGCCGCACGCGCGUUACACUGAUGCAUUCAACGAGCUUAUAACCUUGGCCGAGAGGCCUGGGCAAUCUUGUUAACGUGCAUCGUGAUAGGGAUAGAUUAUUGAAAUUAUUAAUCUUGAACGAGGAAUUCCUAGUAAACGCAGAUAAUCAAUCUGCAUUGAUUACGUCCCUGCCCUUUGUACACACCGCCCGUCGCACCUACCGAUUGGAUGGUCCGGUGAAGCCUCGGGAUUGUGGUUCUUGCCGCUUUAUUGUGGCGUGACCGCGAGAACUUGUCUAAACCUUAUCAUCUAGAGGAAGGUGAAGUCGUAACA